rnacentral:snoRNA from 1 species
GAUCAAUGAUUAAAAGUUUUACCACAGACUUUUAUAAUUAUGAGGGUUUCUACACUUGAUCUGAGAUCA